CAGUAUCAAUUUCCAAAUAUGACUCAAACAAAACUCCUAGACUUAGUUUUUCCUAAAUCGCACAUAAAAAAGUAGCACAAUUGACAGAUAAGAGCAACAAAGACGGUAGUAGAAAGUGAGAACUAACCAAUUGACAGAAAGAUGAGCUCUAACCGAAGCGCAGAAGAUUUAACUUAUGUUUUAGAGAGAAGGAAUAGGUUGCAAAUUUCAGUUGAAGAUGGAAAACUUUGGAAGUAUAAAAAGCUUCAAUGGGAACACAGAAGGUAGUAGAAAGUGAGAACUAACCAAGUGACAGAAAGAUGAGCUCUAACCGAAGCGCAGAAGAUUUAACUUUUAUUUCAGAGAGAAGGAAUAGGUUGUAAAUUUCAGUUGAAGAUGGAGAACUUUAGAAGUAUAAAAAGCUUCAAUGGAAAUACUUGUGCUCCAGUUAAGGAUGUAGCUGCAAAUAGAUAUGCUUAACCCGAAAAGGACGGCUGAAAGCUGGUAAAAACUGCUCAAAACUG
rnacentral:lncRNA from 1 species